AAGGUGAACCCAUUGGGUGGUUACACUUCACAUUAGCAGUUCAUGUAAUUCUGAUUUCAGCUCACAUGUCACCUCCUCAAGAUAUUGUUUUCUGAGCCUCUAAGAUAAAGUAGCCUCUCAGUCACUCUCCAUUCUAGUCCAUGAAACUGUACUUAUUCUCUUGAUAACCUUCAUUGCUGCCUUCUGUCAAUCACAAAAUUACCCUUUUCCCUCAAUCUUUACAAUCACUGAUCUGAGUGCCUUUGCAUUUCUCACUCUCUGUCUCUUCAUCUAUUGAAACAGCCUCUGCAUUCACCUGCUAUUCUGUGAAAGGGGAGUAGAUUUCCACCGAAUGAUGUCUGCGCCAGUUCUGGUAGAGCUUGGUAAGCAUGAGUUAGAAAUUUGGAAACCACUGGAGAAUGAAGAGCAGGGGAAUGUCAUGAUUUGCUAUGUUUUUAAAAUUUUUAUAUUGACUCUGAAGCCGAAUAGCAACUUUCAAAAGAGUAAAUAUUUUCCAUUUUAAUUAAGUCCAAUUUAUACUUUUUUCUUCUAUGGAUUGUGCUUUUGGUGUCGUGUCUAUGAACUCCCUGCUUAGCCUUAAGUCUUCACUAUUUCUUCUAUGUUUUCUUCUAAAAAGUUAGUAGUUUUGCAUUUAAUAUUUAAAUCUGUAAUCCAUUUUGGAUUAGUUUUUAUAAAGGAGGUAAAACUUAGAUUGAGGGUUUUUUGUUUGUUUUUAUUUAUUUAUUUUUUUUCGAGACGGAGUUUCGCUCCUGUCGCCCAGGCUGGAGUGCUGUGGCACAACCUCGGCUCACUGCAAGCUCCGCCCUGCCGGGUUCACGCCAUUCUCCUGCUUCAGCCUCCCGAGUAGCUGGGACUACAGGCGCCCACCACCACGCCCGGCUAAUUUUUUGUAUUUUUAGUAGAGACAGGUUUCACCGUGUUAGCCAGGAUGGUCUCGAUCUCCUGACCUCGUGAUCCACCC
rnacentral:lncRNA from 10 species